GUAUUUUGACUGUGCUAAGGUAGCGAAGUCAUUUGUUCUUUUAUUGAGAACUUGUAUGAGUGGAGUUAUGGAGGUUUUUUUAUAAACGGUUUUUUGGCUGAAUUUGAUUUAUCUACGAAAAGUUAGAUUUGUUUUCAAAGACGAGAAGACCCCGAAAUCUUUAUUUUAAAAAAAUGGGUUUUAAUUUUUGUUUGGGGGAAAAGUUAAUUUGUAUUAUUUUCUUUUUUAGUGUGAACUUUGUUAGGUUAAAUGGAUAGAUACUUCGGGGUUAACAGGAUAAUUUUCUUUUGAAGUUCUUAUUUUAGAGGGAGAUUGUUACCUCGAUGUUGGCUUUUGA
rnacentral:rRNA from 1 species